GGCAUAACAAUCGAUGUCAAUAGUAGCGUGAUAACACUAGGGAGGGAGACAGCUUGGGAGUACAUUCACUUUCCUCUACGAUACCGAUAACAAGUGCUCUGCCUACCAGCGGAAAAAUAAUUUAUAUUAUCAUAGCAUAAUUCAGUGCAUUGUGAAAAGCAACAGUUUAAGAUUUAUUGCUACUGCUGGAGCUAAUUCCAAUUCUUUUCUGUGUGCUUGCCUGCUUUGCACCUUUAACACUCUUCUCUUACGCUAGAUUGCACUAACCUUUGUCCUGCCUUCAAUAUGGGAGUUGCCGAAAUAUUCUCAGCAAUUUUGUGGUUUAUUGUUCUAAUCUUCCUUGCAUGGCCUAUUGGGUUCCUUGCUGCUGGUCUUUAUAUCUUCAUAAUGCCGUUUGCUGUUUGUAUGAGUUUUUGUGGAGAAAUAUCUGAAAUGGUUCAAAAAGUGUUCGAACUGCCAAAAACAGUGACUGAAAAUAUGGUCAAUAUGAAACCUAUAUGUGACAAGUAGAUUUGCUUGAUUUACUGGCUGACCUGAACUGUGACCUGUUAUUAAUAUGGCCCCCGGAUGUCCUGGAAUUUGCUGGUCUAUAUGCUGGGUACUAAUUUUGAUCUUCUUCGCUUGGCCAGUAGCAUAUUUCGUGGCUGGACUCUACGUCUUCAUACUCCCAUUUGCUGUGUGCAUGAGUUUCUGCAAGCCCAUCAAUGAGGUUCUCGAGAAAAUAUUUAAGCUACCGGAGACUUGUGCGGAGGGAGUUAUGGGUCAAAAACCAGUCUGUUCGUGAAGGAAUUACAUGUUAGCAUCAAGAUUAUAAGAAGAAAUCUCUGGCAAAAUGAAUGAACUUUGCACACCAAAGAAUAUUAGAAAGAAAUUUAAGUGCAGUAGUAACCUUUUGUACAAUAAAUUAUAAAAAUAAAAAUAAAAUAUUAUCAUUAAAAAGAGAUACUUUUCAUCAGGGUUGAACUCCGUGUUUGUGGUGCACCCCCAAAAAGAGCUGUAUUUUAUCCCAGUUAGUAGCUUCUAGUAUGUAGGCCUGCAACAGGUCAAUUGUUCAAAUCCCAGCGAGGUAAAUUUGUAUAUCUGCCUAGUACAUAUUUAUUAUGAGAUCCAGAUAUAUUAUUUUUGUAAUGAUCUCAUAGAUAAACAUUUACUAUAUUUCUCCUAGGAUAUAAGCCCACCCCCUACUCUAUGCUUAAUUUUAUAUACCAGCCUUUUCUCGAGCAAAAGCCCAGGGUAUGACAUUUACAAAUAUUGAAAAAAAACAAAAACACAUCAAAUAUUGGCUUUAAAUUAGGUAUACAUUUCUAUAGAAUUACCAUAUUUGAUUGAAAAGGGAAUUCUCCGGGUCCCACCCCCAAAAAUUGGCAAAAUUUUG